UACGUAGGGAGCAAGCGUUGUCCGGAAUCAUUGGGCGUAAAGCGCGCGUAGGUGGCUUCGUAAGUCCGUUGUGAAAGUCAAAGGCUCAACCUUUGAAAGCCGAUGGAUACUGUGGAGCUAGAGUACGGAAGAGGCGAGUGGAAUUCCCGGUGUAGCGGUGAAAUGCGUAGAGAUCGGGAGGAACACCCGUGGCGAAGGCGGCCGAUCUGGACCAGCACGUGACGCUGAGGCACGAAAGCGUGGGGAGCAAACAGG
rnacentral:rRNA from 1 species